rnacentral:rRNA from 1 species
UACAGAGGGGGCGAGCGUUGUUCGGAAUUACUGGGCGUAAAGGGCGCGUAGGCGGCCAACUAAGUCAGACGUGAAAUCCCUCGGCUCAACCGGGGAACUGCGUCUGAUACCGGAUGGCUUGAAUUCGGGAGAGGGAUGCGGAAUUCCAGGUGUAGCGGUGAAAUGCAUAGAUAUUGUCAAGAACACCAAUUGCGAAGGCAGCUUACUAAAGUAUAACUGACGCUGAGGCACGAAAGUGACGGGGAUCA